AGGUCUUGCCUGCCCAGUGACUAGUUAAACGGCCGCGGUAUUUUGACCGUGCGAAGGUAGCGCAAUCACUUGUCUUUUAAAUGAAGACCUGUAUGAAUGGCGGAACGAGGGCUUAACUGUCUCCCCUUUCAAGUCAAUGAAAUUGAUCUGCCCGUGCAGAAGCGGACAUAUAAAUACAAGACGAGAAGACCCUUUGGAGCUUAAGAUAUAAAAUCAACUACGUCAAGGGCACACAAGCCAAACUAAGUAGCACCUGAUAGGUAUCUUCGGUUGGGGCGACCACGGGAGAAAACAAAGCUCCCAUGAGGACUGGGGUUACACCCUAAAACCAAGAAAGACAUUUCUAAGUCACAGAACAUCUGACCAUAAAGAUCCGGCUACCCGCCGAUCAACGGACCAAGUUACCCUAGGGAUAACAGCGCAAUCCCCUUUCUGAGUCCAUAUCGACAAGGGGGUUUACGACCUCGAUGUUGGAUCAGGACAUCCUAUUGGUGCAGCCGCUAUUAAGGGUUCGUUUGUUCAACGAUUAAAGUCCUACGUGAUCU
rnacentral:rRNA from 1 species